CUGCGAUUGGCUACUGUCCAAUAUGUUUUACAGUCUUCCACAAGGUCCCCUUGGGGAGUGUCCACCUUGUGGAGACCUGCAUAAAUACCGGGCAGGUAGCCCCCAUUAAACAGAUCUUUAUUUGACCCUCAAGACGGAGCUUAGUCUCGUUUGUGGGGGAAUUAUUACUGGGACAGCGCUUUCGUUAUUUUUAGCUGUGGAAGGCGUUCGACUGUUUGCUG